GGAACUUAUUGUUGUUGUUAGGGUAGUGUAAUUUGUGUACAUUUUAUUGAAAUGGAACCGAAUUCACCGGUGAGAUUCAAAUUAGGUAAGCAAUCAUCAUUAGCACCAGAGAGGAGGGAGGAAGAAGUAUUAGGAGGUGAAGAUGAUGGAUUUGUUAUUGAUCCAAGGGUUAGGUUGAUGUAUUCGGCGAAUGAGGGUGAUAUAGAAGGGAUAAAGGAGAUUCUGGAAUCAGGGACUGAUGUUAAUUUUAGGGAUAUUGAUGAGAGGACUGCACUUCAUGUUGCUGCUUGUCAUGGUUCAAGUGAUGUUGUGCAGUUGUUGCUUGAUAAUGGGGCUGAAGUUGAUCCCAAAGAUCGGUG
rnacentral:misc_RNA from 1 species